AGAUUGAACGCUGGCGGCGUGCCUAACACAUGCAAGUCGAGCGGUAACAGGUGUAGCAAUACAUGCUGACGAGCGGCGAACGGGUGAGUAAUGCUUCGGAAUCUGCCCAUGUAGUGGGGAAUAACUAGCCGAAAGGUUAGCUAAUACCGCAUACGACCUACGGUGAAAGCAGGGGAUCGCAAGACCUUGCGCUAUUGGAUGAGCCGAAGUCGGAUUAGCUUGUUGGUGAGGUAACGGCUCA
rnacentral:rRNA from 1 species